rnacentral:rRNA from 1 species
GUGCCAGCCGCCGCGGUAAAACGUAGGUUCCGAGCGUUAUCCGGAUUUACUGGGCGUAAAGCGUGUUCAGGCGGCUCAGCCAGUCGGGCAUGAAAUCUCUCGGCUCAACCGGGAGAGGCUGUCCGAUACUGCUGGGCUUGAGGGCAGGAGAGGGUGGUGGAAUUCCGGGUGUAGUGGUGAAAUGCGUAGAUAUCCGGAGGAACACCAGUGGCGAAAGCGGCCACCUGGUCUGCACCUGACGCUCAAACACGAAAGCUAGGGGAGCGAACGGGAUUAGAUACCCCUGUAGUCC